CAGAGCACAAUCUGAGGAAUCCAGGCAGCAGUGACAGAUGAAACCCCGCUGAACUCUGGGAAAUGCAGUUGAGGGCUGUUUGAUGGAGCAGAAUUCAUCAGAUCCAUCCUUAGCUGCUUCACAGCUAACUCACAUGCAGUGUUGAAUCAGAUCGGAUCUGCUGCAGCGGUGACGAGAGGAACAGGAUGAUUCGCUCAUUUGCUCGCGUCCCACGCUCUGAGUCAAACCUUCUAGCGCUGAUACAGGACCAGCCUCUGUAGACCCAGCAGAGCCGUCUGAGAGAGCGUGAAGCUGAGCUCAGAUCAGCAACAGACGCAGAGAAUCGAGCCUCUUCCUCAGGAAGA
rnacentral:lncRNA from 1 species